UCCGGCGAUUAUCGAGCGGCGGAAAUACCCAGUUCCAUUCCGAACCUGGAAGUCAAGCGCCGCUUCGCCGAUGAUACUGCAAUCGACGAUUGUGGGAAAGUAGGGCGUUGCCGGGG
rnacentral:rRNA from 1 species